UCCCCCCUUUCUCUUCCCCAAAGAUCCCCCAGCGCUGUCGCAGGUCUCUCCCUCCCGGCCAAAAUCUCCCUCUCUCAAGCAACGUCCACUGUACAUCAGCCACUGUACGCCGCUCACCACCCACCUCCCACCGUACGCUGCCGCCAGAGAGCAUCACGCAAGCAAAAAAGGGUUUUGUUACUUUAAUGAAGGAGCCGCUUGUGAGAUCCAUUAGAUUUCUGGGUUGUCCUUGUCCUUGUUUACCUGUCUGAUGGGAGGGUGGAGGACGUAGACGCCCUAGCCAUCAUCGAUUGAAGCUGCUCGUUCCUCCGGAAGCCGUUGGCCAUGAGUUUAUGGAAGCCUUUUUUGGUUGCUGUGAAUCGGUAUUAGCAGAAGAUGGGCUUCUUGUUCUGCAGCAAAAUCCUCAGUCUCAGAUCUAGUGAAAAAUUCAUUCGGACAUGGGAAUAUUACUUUGAUUAUUGUGCUACUGGUUUUAAGACACAUACACUUGGAAAUUAUCAGCAAUUAGCGUGUGAUAUCUAUAAUGACCCAGUUCGAAAACUUGCUUGAAUAACAGACGUAGCUAAUGCCAUAAUCCCAACAGACCCGAUGAUUGCAAUGCAUGUGCAUGUGCGGCUCAUAUUCGAUCAAGUGUAUAACAUACUCAACCAUAUGCGAUGCUUGCCUACAUUUAUUGGUGAUGAGCUCUCAAGCAUCUAUCGUUUGAUGCAUGUUAUCAAUUCCAUGCGAUUGGCCUGCAAAUGAUAUAUUAUACUUCUUGUUGACAUGUUGUAAUGUACAUGUGAAGAUUUUAGGUGUUUAGGUGUUUUGUCUUUAUUGAUGGAAUCAAAAUGUAAUUUUGUUAGUAUGAAGGAAAUAGGAUCAAAGUGUAAUUUUGGUGAUCUUACCAUGCACAUGUGGCAAGUUAUUGGAAUAUAUUUUUUUUAAUAAUUAUGGUGCUAUGAUUCA